rnacentral:piRNA from 1 species
UGAUCGAGUGGUAUAUGGUUUUACAGC